rnacentral:rRNA from 1 species
AUUCCAGCUCCAAUAGCGUAUAUUAAAGUUGUUGCAGUUAAAAAGCUCGUAGUCGGAUUUUGGCAUCACGCCGAACUGUCUGCCGAUUGGUAAGUACGGUUUGGCGGGUGCUUCCUUCCGGAGGCUCGUUCCCUUCUUCAUUGAAGGGUUCGUUGGUUCCGGGUCUUUUACUUUGAGAAAAUUAGAGUGUUCAAAGCAGGCCUAUGCUCUGAAUAGGUUAGCAUGGAAUAAUAGAAUAGGACUUUGGUUCUAUUUUGUUGGUUUUCAGGAUCUAAGUAAUGAUUGAUAGGGAUAGUUGGGGGUGCUAGUAUUUUGCGGCCAGAGGUGAAAUUCUGUGAUCCGCGAAGGACUAACUUAUGCGAAAGCAUUCACCAAGGAUGUCUUCAUCA